UGUGACGAAAAAGUUCAAAGCUUUUCUCGAUUUUGCCGUUUCUAUUUAAACAACCGAGAACCGAAUUGCAAACAGACGGGUUAACCUUAAUUAACCUAUCUUCAAUGCCAUUGUAUAUUUCGAGUGCCUUAUUAGGAUGGAGAUUUUUUCCCAUGAGCUUUAUGUAACUACUAUAAGACGCAAAGUUUAGCUCUCCAUGUUGCUGCAUCCAUUCAAAGACCUGCGCCAAUUGUAUAUCACUGGAUUGUUGAAUGUCGAGUAAAGCUGACUGUCUAGCUUUGUGGGAAACUGAGAUGUAUUCUUUGGACUUUGGAGAAUCUUGAAGUUGAGUUCGAAGUGUUCUAGUG
rnacentral:lncRNA from 1 species